rnacentral:lncRNA from 1 species
AUUAAUUUUAGAAGAUGAACAGCAGUUUUUAGAAGUAAGUAGGUUCUUGUUGGUUUAAUGUGAAAUUAGAUCUUUGUAUACUAGUUGGGUGAAUGAAUAUUCAAGUAAACCUUUAUUAAUAAUGAUUUUCUUUUUCUAAAACUGUUUCUUGGAGCAGAUUUAAGAAAAUUCUAAGAAUCUCUUCAAAUGAGGAAAAUUAACUACAUUUUAACCUACCUCAUUAGUUUCUUUGUGAUAAUAACUGGAAAUAACUGAAGUUGUAACUUUAUUGGUGUGGACUAUAUCCCCAUGAAAUAAAAGGAACUACUU